rnacentral:rRNA from 1 species
UACGAAGGGGGCUAGCGUUGCUCGGAAUCACUGGGCGUAAAGGGUGCGUAGGCGGGUCUUUACGUCAGGGGUGAAAUCCUGGAGCUCAACUCCAGAACUGCCUUUGAUACUGAGGAUCUUGAGUACGGGAGAGGUGAGUGGAACUGCGAGUGUAGAGGUGAAAUUCGUAGAUAUUCGCAAGAACACCAGUGGCGAAGGCGGCUCACUGGCCCGUAACUGACGCUGAGGCACGAAAGCGUGGGGAGCAAACAGG